rnacentral:rRNA from 1 species
GCUAGUAAUCGCGGAUCAGCACUGCCGCGGUGAAUGUGUUCCUGAGCCUUGUACACACCGCCCGUCAAGCCACCAAAGGGGGGGGCAUCCGAAGUCGUCGGAGCUGAAAGGCAGACGCCGAAGAUGAAACUCCUGAUGGGGACUAAGUCGUAAAAUUGUUGCGACCGCCGCGAGUAAUUGCGGUGAAAAAAUUGGCUGU